UAGAUUGUAGCUAAAUUAUAAGCGCUUCACUUACGUUGGAGAGAUCACUUUUAGGUGCUAUCUAA
rnacentral:tRNA from 1 species